rnacentral:ribozyme from 13 species
AUAUAUAAAUUAGCCUGUAAAGAGAGAGAGAGAGAGAAAGACAAGAAAAGAUGAGAGUAGAAUGAGGGUGAGGGGAUAUGUGCUUAAUUUUUAUACUCAAAAGCAAAUGGCGUUCCCCCUUUCUUUGUACUUUGUACUUUGAUUGUUUUUUUGUGAUUUUUUUUUUUCGAAAUGCGGGUAGAAGUGUAUAAGAAGUAGAGAAAGUAUGA